AGUUUAAAGACGGGGUUUGUGUCCAUUUCUUAGCUGUUGUGCAUAGUGCAGCAGUCAAUGUGGAAAUGCCGACAUCCUUCAUGCAAUGGCUUCCUUUUCCUCAGGAAUGGAUCGCUGGAUCAUACAGUAGAUCUACUUUUAAUUUUUGUGAGAACUUCAUAUUGUGUUCUAUAGUGUAUGAACUAACACCAACAGUGUGUGAGCGUUCCUGUCUCGACAUCCUCUCUAGCACAUGUUAUCGUUCAUCUUUCUGAUUACAGCCCUCCUCACUGCAGUGAGGCUCUACCUCAUGGCCUCCCUCUCCCUCCUACCCCAGGAACACACACCAAGGAAGGCCCACUGUGAGAUGGCAGCCAUCUUCAAUCCUCAUCCAGGAAGAGGGCCAUCAUGAGAAGUCAAAUUAACUACAGUUUUGACCUCAGAUUUCCUGUCAUCUAGAACUGUGAAAAUUCGAGAAUAGGUAUCUGUUGUUUAAGACAUCCUGUCUGUGGCAUUUUGUUAUGGCAAACACUGGUGAUAAAUGUAGCCUGGUUAGCAUAUGGCAGAGGCUAAUCCUAGAAACCAAUUAGAAAUUAAACUGUGGUAAAGUUGUAGGAAGGCUCCAUCUGCCUUGGAUUUCAACAUGUUCCUGAGCAUGGCUACCCAAGCUAUUUCAUUGAAAGCAUAGUGACUCUUUGCCCCCUCAACACUGGCCGAUUGCAGGAGGAACAGAAGUUUUCAUCUUGCUCAUUGGUCUCCUGCCUCAUACAAGGUCAAGAUUUAAUAAAUCUUUUUGGAAAGAAACUGGGUAUGUAUCUGAGGCAGGCUCUUUCCCUGACAAGUCUUCAUUUGCUGAGCAGAUUUCAGUAGAAUGUGGAAAAGCCGACACACAUCUACGACUCCUCAGGUUCCCAAGGCUGCUUGUGAUCAUCAUGCUUUCUGCUGGGUCCUCUGCUUCCAGCAGAGUCUGCCCACCUGGGUCAAGCCCAGCCAUCUGUACCUUCCCAGAACUAACGGACACCCUGCGAGAAAAAUUGCUGCCAAUUAUCAGAUCACCUCAAAUCGCUCUCUCUCUAGAAUUUUAGUUCAUUUCAUCUUCAUAGCUUUUACAGCUCUCAGAUGCCAUUGAAAAUGACUUUUAUUAUGUUUUCCAUUUGUCCAAGUAAGAAUAUUGACCUGUCAAAAACCUACUCAGAAGAACAAGGCUUUCUCUAAAUAGUUUCACAUUCUUACAACACUGGCCUUCCAAAAGAAUGGACCAGAACCUAAUGUAAUAGAUGUUUACUGGAAUGAAUAAAUAAAUACAUGACUCAAUCUUA